rnacentral:lncRNA from 1 species
UCUGCUUCAUUUGCUAUUUCCUCCUGCAGAAAAGGUUAGAGAAAGAGUGGAGUAUAACCCUAGAAAAAUAAGAAGACUCAAGUUCAUAUUAACUACCAUAACGCCGCGUCCUAUCUCCAUAUAGGUAUGGAACCUCAAAAGUUUACUGAGGGAAUAAAAAUGGGGAUUAGAAUCCUGCUUUGAGCUCCUUGAAAGGCAGACAUGUAAUUUAAAAAAAAUUAAUCCCCUAGUCUUGUGAAGACAGGUAUUCCAGAAUUGUUUCCCAAACAAAUAAGGAUCUGGCCAUCCUUGGGCCCUUCGCUUCCCUAGAGAGUCACUCAUUUCCAAAACAUUCUCAGAGUAAAGGUCCAUGUGAGUUUCUCAACCGUUGACAGUGGCGGGUUGUACCUUCCUCUCUCCCCCCCACCCCAAAUCUGUCUCGCCACAACCAUCCAUACUCGCACCCAGUCCCAAGAAAUUCCCUCAGACACCUCCAUGCCCAAACACUCCUGAACGGAGACAAGGAAGGCUACAGAGCGGAGGAGGGAGGCCCCGUGUUGGCCGAAGCAAGGAAGGGACCGGCCGGCGCCAAAGGAGAGAAGAGCCCACCGCCACCCUCCGCGUGGGCGGCCCACUCCGCUCCACUGACCCACCCGCCCCUUUGGGCCAUCCUCGCAGGGAAGACCUGCACUGGAUUAAGGGUACCUUCCUGAGGAGGAGGAGGAGGACGACGACGACGGAGUUUGGUACCGUUUGCGGCGAGGGCAGCAGCAAAACUACUAUCCGGUCUCCGGGAGAGGCGGGUUCCCGCCCAUUUCCCCUUCCCACCCGGAAGGCUCGGCCUCUGAAGCGAAGAAUCGCUGCCACGGAAAGCAAGCCCGGUGUAGCGAACUCCGGCAGCGAAGCCCUCGCAGUUUUUUCCGAUUUGUGCAGCUUUGUUGCCCUUCUCUUGCCUCAGCUCACCUGGGGACAUGCGCUGCUAAACCAAAUGUCCGGCUCUGUUGGCAGCAUUUUGAAAAAAAGCGACUAUUCUUCACCUCAAACUUUGCCUCCCCUCCCCUGCCCCUCCCGGCCGGGACCAGCUCGCUCGCCUCAGGCCGCCAUUUUGCCGCAGGGCAUGCCGGGUAAGGCAGCGGAAUCCCCACGUACUGGCGUGAUUACGUCAUCCCUCAGCCGGGGGGAAAUUACCCGCGGUAGGACAGGUACGGCCCCGCGGGGACAAGAACCGUAGAGAGCCGGCCGUUGGGCGGGUUAUUGUGGCGGCGGAAAAAUCGGUGGUCACGGAAGGGUGGGCGACCUUGGGAAAUACAAGAGGAAGAGCAGAUUAAGUUUGCUGUGAGAGAUGCAUCUGGGAGUCACACGAAAGGCUCGCCAGGCUUACCAUACGGGAACGAAAAACGAGGCGAUCGCGUAGGAGAAUGCGGACCUUCCUCGUUUUUUUGUUUUUUUUUUUUGGUUUAUCAUCUCUGUAUCAUUUAUGCAGCGUGAUGCUUACUCGGACUUAGGCACAUGUAGGUUCUAAUAGAAUUUGCCCCCCCCGUCAGAAUGCUGAACUGCAUGGGGUCAGGGCUGCUGCAGUCGUUUCUGCGCAUUUUCUUGCAAAGAAUUUCAAAGUCCAUCUGGCUGACAAAACGGGAGGGAAAAUAAGCGGGAAGAGAAGGGGACUCUGUAUCAUUUAUGCAGCGUGAUGCUUACUCGGACUUAGGCAUAUGUAGGUUCUAAUAGAAUUUGCCCCCCCCGUCAGAAUGCUGAACUGCAUGGGGUCAGGGCUGCUGCAGUCGUUUCUGCGCAUUUUCUUGCAAAGAAUUUCAAAGUCCAUCUGGCUGACAAAACGGGAGGGAAAAUAAGCGGGAAGAGAAGGGGAAAGGCCAAAGGCAAAAAGUCGUGACGCCUUAGAGACUUAUCAGAUUUGUUUCGGUGUGAGAGUUUGUGGGCUAAAAUCCACUUCCUUACACACGUGAAGGCUCAUACUGUGCCAUUUGUUUUUCCAUGAGAGUGGGAGUAAUGACGAGAUGAGGAAAUAGACAACACACCGUGACAAUGCAACUUUGACACAGAAAUUGGAUUAAUUGAGAUAUUAAUAUACAAUUUUAUGGUGAUUAGCUUUCUACUUAGUAGGUUUCCCUGUCACAGAACUGCCAAAAAAUUCUUUCUGAGGCAAAGGGCAGAGUAUGUCAAGGGAGACAAUUAGUUUAUACAAGUAAGAUGUUACAGAAAACUGGGCUUGUUAU